rnacentral:lncRNA from 1 species
UCGUCUUCAUCAUCAAAUUCACUUGCUGAGGUUUCAACUAAAUUGUCUUCAUCUAAUUUGUUGUGAAUCAUGAUCAAAGAUUUUUGAAUUAUGAAAAUUGUUGUUGAAAGCCUUCGAAAUUGAUCCACAACAAAUCUUUCAAACUUAGUAUGUGGAGUGAAGGUAGAAGGAGUUUCGUCAACAUCCUUGAACACCCAGCCAUCUUUUGUUUUCUUUAGGCCAUUAAAGGUCAAUGCCACUUUUCCUAUUUCAUUUGAUUUGGU